GCAGGGGGUGAAUUGCAGAACUCCGUGAACCAAUGGCCUCUUGAACGUGCAUUGCGCUCUUGGGAUAUGCCUGAGAGCAUGUCUGCUUCAGUGCUUCUACUUUCAUUUUCUGCUGCUCUUGUUAUCAGGAGCAGUGUUGCUGCAUGCUUCUGCAAGUGGCACUGGCAUGCUAAAUAUCAAGUUUUGCUUGCUGUUGUGACUGAUCAACAUCUCAUGUCGUUUCAGUUGGCGAAACAAAAGCUCAUGUGUGUUCUUAACACUUCCUAGCAUGAAGUCAGACAAGUGAACCCGCUGAACUUAAGCAUAUGGAUCCCAGGCAUAU
rnacentral:rRNA from 1 species